AUUGAGCGCUGGCGGCAGGCCUAACACGUGCAAGUCGAGCGGUAGCACAGGAGAGCUUGCUCUCCGGGUGACGAGCGGCGGACGGGUGAGUAAUGUCUGGGAAACUGCCUGAUGGAGGGGGAUAACUACUGGAAACGGUAGCUAAUACCGCAUAACGUCGCAAGACCAAAGAGGGGGACCUUCGGGCCUCUUGCCAUCAGAUGUGCCCAGAUGGGAUUAGCUAGUAGGUGGGGUAACGGCUCACCUAGGCGACGAUCCCUAGCUGGUCUGAGAGGAUGACCAGCAACACUGGAACUGAGACAAGGUCCAGACUCCUACGGGAGGCAGCAGUGGGGAAUAUUGCACAAUGGGCGCAAGCCUGAUGCAGCCAUGCCGCGUGUAUGAAGAAGGCCUUCGGGUUGUAAAGUACUUUCAGCGGGGAGGAAGGUGUUGUGGUUAAUAACCACAGCAAUUGACGUUACCCGCAGAAGAAGCACCGGCUAACUCCGUGCCAGCCGCCGCAGUAA
rnacentral:rRNA from 1 species